ACUCAUGCCUUGCAGCAAAACUACUAUGUCAUAAAAAUGGGUUUUUUAGGGGGAGGUUUAUCUAUUGUACUUUGGGUGUGCUGCUGGUCCCUAUGAUUUCCCUAAAUCUGAGGAACUCAAUUGCAUAAUGUGUUAAUGGA
rnacentral:snRNA from 1 species